AUUCGCUAUCGCGUGGGAUGAGAAGUGCGACAGUUCGGCCUGGGCCUCCUCCAUAGCUGUUCGGUAACAAAGGGAGAAGGAUGGGGAUGAGCUACUCCUCCAGUCCCACAGCUACCACGUCUGCUAUGCACAGCGUAUGCCGGAUGUUUCUCUUAGCACUCUGCACAGGUGAACUCUUGGUUCUUAUCCCUACAAGCGUCAGCAUCGGCUCCAGCAGAGAGCAGCAAGUGGCAUAGCUGGAAACAGCGGGCCGAGGUGGCCUCAGCGUCAGCGGGGGACUGGCAGCGAGUGUCACAGGCAGCCAGCAGCGGCGUCCAGCCUUCGGCAUUGCGGGCAUCGGGACAUGCACC